rnacentral:misc_RNA from 1 species
UUAAGUUCAGCGGGUAUCCCUACCCGAUCCGAGGUCAACCUGUGAUAAAAUGGUUUAACGGCGUGCCGGCCGCCCACCCGAGCGAGAGGAAGUACAUUCUCACGACGCAGGGAUGAGUUUCAGACCACAGCCGAAUUUCAAUGGAGGCGCGGGUUGACCCGACGCCCAAUACCAAGCCAGGCUUGAGUGGUGUAAUGACG